rnacentral:lncRNA from 1 species
AUGGAGGUUCUAGGGGGUCCAACUGAAGAUACAGCUGCGGCCUACACCACAGCCACAGCAACACCAGAUCUGAGCUGUGUCUGUGUCCUAUACCACAGCUCAUGGCAACACCGGAUCCUUAACCCACAGAGUGGGGCCAGGGAUCAAACCCACAACCUCAUGGCUCCUAGUCAGAUUCAUUUCUGCUUCGCCACAAUGGGAGCCCCCAUCUUGAGAAUUCUUAAGACUUCUGUGGAGGAGGAAAAACUGUCUCAACAUGUUUAUUUUAUAAUUGUUUUAAAUUAUCAAUUACACAUCAUUGAAACUUCUAUAAAAUCAUCAGGGUGUUCUUGCUGUAAGAGCUAGGGGGUCACUGGACAUAAAGACAGGGUUGACUUUGACUUCAUUUUUGUACCUGUUAUCUUCUUCAGGACAUUUGCAGAACCUUCCCAGUACUUUGUUAUGCUUCUGCUGUCAAUCAGUAUCUCUCAUAAAAACAUGACUUGGGAAGUUCCCUUGUGGCAUAGUGGGUAAGGAUCUAGCAUUUUCCCUGUUGUGACUCAGGUGGCUACUAUGGCAUGAGUUUGAUCCUUGUCCUGGGAACUUCCACAUGCUUUGGGCACAGCACCCAACAUCCCAAAGAAAAAAUGUGACUUGGAAAGUGAAGAACUUCAUCAUUUGUUUGUAUGUUGCCUGUAACUUAGAGAUAUAACUGAAGUUCAUGGUAGAGCUAUUUUCAUUCAUUGGCUGCCCCUGAAAGGUAAGGGAACUACUUUAACCUUGAGACAAAUCAACUCUGAGCUAGACUGAGCCCAGAAUUCACACUCCUCCCACACACUCCCUCAAAUUCUGUUUUGUGAGUGGAUUAUCUCCUACCUGCUUGUUAAUCUGAUUUCUAGAAUCUAUUUCUGGCCUCAGGCACUGACUGAUAGAGGAAACUAUGUACUAUCUGGCAACUGAAUUCUGUUCCUCUAAUGAAACAAGGUCAAAAUGCCUUAGAGUCCUAUCUAGGAAGAGUGCCUUCAAAGGUACAGAGUUGUGAUUUUCUACACACUAUGAAUGAAAAUGUGGGCUUUGGAGUCAGAUCAUCUGGAAUGGAACCCUGGAUCUACCUCUUGGGUAGCUUGAAUCAAGCUGUCUUUACUAAAAUCCAGUUUCUUGUAUGUAAACAGGAGAUACUUACAGUACUUGUUGCAUAGGUUACUUGUUGGAAUUAAAUGACUUACUGCAUGGAGAGUCUGGCUCACACAUAGUAAGUGCUCAAC